rnacentral:rRNA from 1 species
AGCGAACGCUGGCGGCAGGCCUAACACAUGCAAGUCGAACGAAGUCUUCGGACCUAGUGGCGGACGGGUGAGUAACACGUGGGAACGUACCUUUUGGUUCGGAACAACUCAGGGAAACUUGAGCUAAUACCGGAUGAGCCCUCAGGGGGAAAGAUUUAUCGCCGAAAGAGCGGCCCGCGUUAGAUUAGCUAGUUGGGGAGGGAAAGGCUCACCAAGGCUACGAUCUAUAGCUGGACUGAGAGGAUGAUCAGCCACACUGGGACUGAGACACGGCCCAGACUCCUACGGGAGGCAGCAGUGGGUAAUCUUGCGCAAUGGGCGAAAGCAUGACGCAGCCAUGCCGCGUGAAUGAUGAAGGUCUUAGGAUUGUAAAACUCUUUUACCAGGGACGAUAAUGACGGUACCUGGAGAAAAAGCCCCGGCUAACUUCGUGCCAGCCGCCGCCGUAACAC